ensembl:lncRNA
GUGUUUUCCUGGGGGAGAAGGUGGAGAUUCUGCUCUGAUUACAUGUGUUAAAGAAGAAAAAGAGAGAUGUUGGUGGAGAUGACUGCAGAGUGGGCUUGUCCUCAGCACUUUCCUACAGCAUCCUUGUUCGUGGAGGCUACUGAAGAACUGGCAUGGGACCAAUUUGCGUGACUGCAUCUCAGCAGCAGCAUUCUGACCUCUGGUUUUAUCAUAUCCAUCACGAGUAGACUGGAGAAUCCUGUCUUGGUAUGAGAGCUGCUCUGGAAGUAAUUCCUCCUGUGUUGGCCCAUGACAAUAAAGGCAGCUGUUGGUGCUAUGUCAAUAGAGGAUGAACCUUGCUGCCAAUAUUCCAUUCCAUGUUGUUGCCAUGUGACAGAUGGCAGCAAAGGGGAAGUCCGACAGAAUGGUGUCUGACAUUUUGCAUAUAAAGCAAAGAGGUGCCUCUGAAUUCCUCCAUGUGGAAAACAGUGGAACAGUGGGUCAUCUCCACUUAUGUGGAUUUUUACAAGUACAGCAUGUAUGCUCUUGUUCAUUGCUGGCAGUAAUGUAUAUCUAGUGGUGGUGACUGCAUUGGAAAAUAGCAUUUUGUAGCUGAGAAUUUGUUCUAUCAAAUGGCGUUAUUGUAUCUGUUGUAGUUUCCAUGGAAAUAAUAGGAAGCUUUACUUUUGGAGUGACGUAUAUGUUUAGUUAAGUGUUACCAGGAAUUUUUUCACUUUAUUUGCAGGCGUAGUGGCUGUUGUAUAUGGCAUCCUUUUGAAUAAUGAUUGAAACGGGACAGUAACCAUUCAGAGUUUAUUGCACAUCAGAGCAAAGCUAUACUCUGUUCACUUCCCAAUUAUUCUCCUGUCAGAAAGAGAGCAAAGGGAGACAGGAAGAAUGGUUCACUUGUCUACCUGUGCAAUCUGUGGUUGAUGGGCCUCUGAAUUGGUGAGAAGUGCUGUGUUUUCCGAGUGCCAACAGGUGAAGUUUGCAAGGAGGGGUGUAUUUAUUUUGUAAAACUCAUGCUACAGUAUGCUGAGAGCACUUUCUGGGGAAAUUUAAUAAAGCUGAUUAUGAAUGAGAAGAUAGAAGCUGAUUUCAUAAACUAUCCACUGCUAUGUUUUCUUUUCCUCUGUAGCUUACAGCUUUCUUCUUGUUGAUAGGCCUGCUCUGUAAUGUAUGGCCUGUAUUAGAUUUAAAAUGUAUGUAUUGUUCACGCUUUAUAUCACUGAAGCUUUCUUGCUCAGCAGUCUUGAUGCAGUGUGUAGAGAGAAUGAGAACUGGAGUGUGACUGGAUUUUUAUCCAAGAAAUUGGGGGGGUUAGGAGAAUACAGCACACUCUGCUCUUGGAUGCUGCUGUUUCCGAGGCUCUUUU